GAAUAAUUUUUGUGACCACAAAACUUGUCGGGUGAAGCUGAGUAUCUUUGGGAACAGAGCCAAAUUACAAAACAAUAAAGAAAUCUAUCUGUUUUUCUUUUGCUUAAUACACUUUUUUAUGUAAACAAAAACAAGACAAAACCAUCUUUUCCCUGCAAAAAUCAAACCAACACACCCUUAAAACUUUAAACAAAUCCCAUCUAUAACUCAUAAGAACCUUCCUAAAAAGAAUACAAAAAGGCAAAAAAGCCAUUGAUUUAUUAUUUUACCUUUUCUUCAAGUUUCAUAUUUUAUAAUUCACGAGACCACCCUCACUCUCCUUUUGAGGAAGUACUGUUUCGUCUCCUUCUUCAUCUCAUG
rnacentral:lncRNA from 1 species